AGCAUUAGCGACGAGAUAACUACGAACGAACUGUUUCAUUGACAGAAGCAAUCAUUUCGCUUUGCAUUACUGAAAAGACAUGUCUAUCUUUAUUCCUCUUGUCAGCGGGUAGGCCGACUUUAUAAGGUUAAGAUACCGAAGCCGAUGUAGCCCAGUUUCCUGGCCGGGUCGCCAGCUGAUAAACGCAAAACCGAACGAAUCCCGUUAAUAACCAUGUAAUGAGUAGUGUUUACAUCUACUCCAUUUACCAUCUCAGAUGGCACCAAGGGUGGCCAUAAGAACCAAUGGAUACCUACACUUUUUUUAUUUUUUAUCUUCUUAAAGUUCAAGGUAAUUAAUCAUUUUUCGAUAAAAAAGUAAAUCACGGCUCCCCUCACUUCCGUUUGUUGAUUUCAUCACGCUAAAAAUAGUACCGGAUGGGUAAACAUAUCACAUCGUCAGGAUUUGUAGGACUUCAACUCGCGCAGAGAAACUAUUCGCUCAGCUCGCGCUUGUUCGUUGCUUUAUGCCACCAAAUUGGUGAGGAAAAAAUCGAGCGCGUUAUUCACUGGCCACAUUCGAACUUUUUCUUCUCUCUCCCAGUGAAGAUUUGUAUAUGUGUUUAAUUUCUUUUUCCGUGAAUCUCUUCAGUGCGCGACGUGCAUUUGCUAACUUGAUCACAAUCGCACAUGAUGAACUAAGCUUCUUAAUCUUCUUUGAAUUUAUUGCCCAACAAUGAUUCAUUAAGUUUCCAACGCAAAAGAGGUAUCGAGCCCUCUUAACACGUUAAAAAGAAGAAGUUCGAGGUACAACGUCACGAGCGAGAAGCGAGUUAACAAACAAGAGACCUUGCAAUAGAGACUGCACUUAACCCAAGCAUAAUGAUAGAUAUGCGGCAUCAAAUUUUGUUUUGCCGUUUAGUGUUUUGAGUGAGAAAGGGCAGUUUCUGUUAACCUUGUACGGCUUUGCCACCCAGCUGUAUCCGCCACUUGUUUUGCUAGACAUAACAUAACUUGUUAUUUUUAAACACUUCGCUUAUGACUCUUUCCUAAGGGAAACAACCAACAGUCGAUUGCCUUUCGUCUUUUUUUUUUCUGUUAAAUUUUAUAUAAAUGCAGAACUGUGGCUUAGAACCGCUCGAUGGGUAAGGAUUUCUGUUUCAUUAUUUCUGUCAUUUUUCAUAUAUUCGAUACUUUUUUUAAUAUUUAGUACAGCUUGAUGAUCAUUAAAUACCCUGCGCUGCCAAACGUAACGCGAAAGAAGUGAGUGAGAUACAGGCAAUAAAUAACUGGGAAGCGCCAGGGCCUGUUAAUAAGAGCAAACACAUUACUGUCAUUCUCUGUAAUUACAAACCCAUUGUUCUGUGCUUUAGCUAGUUACAUGAUUGAGCUUCUUAAGAGCGAAAGAGCAGAAAAAUAAUGCUAUUUGUUUAACUUGUUAUUGUAACUAAUACCAGGUAGGCGUCUAACAGGAUUUUUCUAAAUAUAUAAAAGAGCGAAGUGGCUUUCUGUUGCUGAGUCGCGAUUCUCUGCAGGGAUUUCGUAACCCCACGACCAAGCUCCGUUAAUCCGUCUAUCGACAUUUUCGCUCGCCCCGCCCAGACGCUUGCGGCGGUAUUGUCACCUUCACGCUUUGUUCGGGGUUCUUUCUCAUACGUGCUCUUAAGUUGAAAAGAGACAGGCUAAGAAAUGCCCAUUUGCUGCGUACAAGUCGCCUAAGCUGCGCUGACCUGUGCUUAACGGGUCGUGAAAAAUCCCACGAUUUCACGAAGCCACGCCCAUUGGCCCAAGAAAGACAUCACGAUUUUAUAGACAGUGUAUAGUCUUCGUUCUUGAACCUCACGGCAUGUACACGAAAUCGUCGGGGAUACCUUAACAAUAACAUAGACACAAAGAUGUUUCUUUGCUGCCACCACAGGGAACCUUUGUAAAGGCGAAACAAGUCGAUUUACAAUGAGUUUUCUCAAACCCGUGAAAUCAGCAUUUGACCUUUUUCUUGACACAGUGGUCUGGCAAGUCUAUAACAAAGUUUUCUUAAUUUGUUAACGGUAAUGGGAAAAAAGAAAUACUUGUCCCCUAUUUCUUUUUCGAUGGCUUAAAGGCCUAAAACCGAAAUAAGAGGCAUAGCUAUCCUGUGUCUUCUAAACGCUUUGAAAUGUGGUUAACGUGAAAAAUUGGGUUGCUGUAGGGAGCAAAAGAAAUCACAGUAGCAUUACAAAUGAACCGCGGGCAAAUGACCAUGCCUUCGUAAACGCGUAAGGGUCACGUCUGCAAAAGAUGAAUCAUUUAUCCCUCGCGAAUGCGAAUAUAUAGAUCUUGGGAGGUCUUUUCUCUAAAAGACAUAGAUAUAGGUCGAGGACUCGUAAUAUAUAUCGCUAUUUUGGCUGUCCUAGUGUAAUUUAGGCCUAGAAAUGUUUCUGUGAUUUACCGCACUUUGAUCUUACCGCUAUCACGUGUACAGACACGUGUCAAUCAGUGUUAGUGUUCUUCUACCUCUUCACUCCUGUCCAUAAACGAGCCGGGAAACAAGGAAAGUCCCUGGUAGCCAAGCUUUUGCUCGACACAGUCACUCAAGUAAACUGAAGCCUUAGCUUACAAUCCUAGUCUAGUUUCAAAUCUCAUGUCUCUUAUUGAUCCUCAGAGCAGACAUAAGAAUUAUCUUUGUCAAAACUGAGUUAUCAUUCUAGCCGUUCUAGGGAAAGUUAAGAAAGCGGCUGUCGGCCGGCACCACUGAAUAAUAACAAUAGGACUUAUGACCUAAAAUUAAUCUCUGUCUUCACCCAGAAAGUCCAUUAACAGGUUUUUUUUUGUCAUCGUCAAUGCUUUUGAAAGAAAAAGAGAUUUUCUUUCAUUUGUUGCGAUGUUAACACCCAAAUUCUGCUCAACACUUUGAAAACAAGACGAACUAAAGAGGAUCAAAUCGAUUAACAACUUCUUCUCUUCAUCAUCUGUGCUAUCAAAAGGAAGAGCGUUUUUUCAUUUGUUGUGAUGUGAGCGAACAAUUUGAAAAAGAAGACGCGUAGCAGAGGAUAAAACCAUGAUGUAGAACGAAGCAAUGGUGCAAAAUGAAGCAAAUAUUUGGAGUCCACAUACGUACACAUUUAUACACCUAUACUGACAAGAAACAGCGUGAAAAAGCAUACCUUUUGAUACACGGACACAAGCGAACAGCACGAGGCCCGCAAAACAGGUAACCACCUGUAUAGAUUUCGUUUCCAUCGCUGACCACUUAAAAAAAAAAGUCCACAAGCCACCGAGCAGAUUUGAGAUCGAGCGUAGGACGAGUAUAAAAAUGAACCGCUUACAGGGAUUUAGAAUUUAUAUAGCUGUCCAGGUCCGCUUGAUCUGACAAGCAGACAGGAAAUUACCGGGAAUUCGGAAAUGAUGACCACUUCCGAUUCCAACUGAUUUAGAGACGUCACGUCAAAACUUGUGAUCACAAGUCGUGCGAUAGAGUGAGUACAAGAGAGGAACAUCUUUUGCACUGUUGACAAAGCACUGAGGUCUCCAAUUAUAAACACGCAAGUAUGAAAUGUUUGAAAUCAAUAUUGACCGGGCGAUAAUAUUUAUGUCACUUUGCUGUCUUGUUUUUUUGUUAUUCUUUAAUUUCUUCUCGUAUCCAAUUUAUCAAUUCACGUCAUUUGUAAGAUUGUAACGAACCGAGGAAGCAAUGCCAAUCAAACAUAUUUUUAUAACUGAAAGGCUGGUGUGUAGAUACAUUAUAUAACAUGAAAUCACCACCCCAGAAAAAAUACCAAUGAACCAGGCAAACCAGGCAAAUACGUCAAGGCCUAGGUAAAAUUCGGCACAAAAUAUGAGUUUACAGACUCUUUACAGUGUUGUUGCUUGUCUUUGUGGUGAGUAUUUUUGCUACGGUUUGUGAAAUUUCAAGUACGUGUGCAGUUUGGAUAGCGAGGUCAAUGUUUUGCUGAAUAAUCCUUGUAACGGUAAAUAAAGCCCAAAAAACUUGGCAUAAUAUGGCCCGAUACACAACAUAAUUUCCUUGACUAAGCCUAGGAACAGAUUAGCAGAUUUAGGUCAUUACUCAAUGGAAGGUUCUUUACUAUGAACAAUAAGCAACAUGUCUGCAAUUAGGAGAGAUUAAGAUUUUUAUCCAAAAAGAAAACUGAAAAAAAAACAUUGUAAUUUAUCACUCGAGGUCUUGUAAACAUUUAUGAAACAAAAUCCAUACAGAGCAAUGUGCGUUUGGGUCAAUUGAAAGGCGCCUUGGUGUCACACUGAAAAUUGAAGCUAUGUUUGUCUACGCCUUCUCACUGUUUUACUAGCAAAGAGACAGACAGAUGGAGAGGAGAGAAUGAUCUCGAACGUGAUCCACACUACGGCUAUUAUAUGUCAUACAGGAGAAGAAGAAACAAUGUGAAAUGACAAAUUUUACUACCAUUACUAUUAUCAUUAAUUUUGCAAGCUGACAAAGAUCAGCGCGCUCACGUAAACUUCAACUUAAAAUAAAAAUCAAUUUACAGCCUGCUAAAAGGGCACUUGAGUUAGUCUAGAUUACGUAAGAUAUGAAGAUUUUUUUUAAAACAUUCGUGCGGCCAACGAUGAACAAAUUACUAAAGCAACUAGCAACGAACAUGAAAAAAAAAAAAAAAAAAAUGAAAAAAAUUGAUCUUUCGUCAUCUAAUAUUAUAUCGGGUAAAUUCCUGAACGUGGGUAAUAGUUUUCCAAGCACGCGCUUAAUGCAACUCAUCACUUUCACAGUAUCACGCCAUUAAAAAGCCGCCUUAAUCGGACAAAAGCAGAGAGGUUUUAUGUAAACCCUGGAAGCUCUAUCUAACUGUCACUGAAGAGAAACUAACAAGAUUCAGAGAUAGAACGUCUUUCACAAGCUGAGUGAAGUUGAUCACUAUAUGAAAGUACUGAGUCAAGCUCUAAAAUCCUUGCAUCGCAACCCAGAAGGUCACAGAUCUAACAGUCAAGGUCAUUUUGGAUGAUUUAGCAUGUUUGAAGUCUCGCCAAGUUUUCCGCCCUUAAUUAAAAAUCGUUUUCCGAAAGGAGGCCAAUUUAAGAAGGAAUCGCUCACGCUUUGUGUCUUUUCGCUCUCUGUUGUAGAGUGAAAUAACUUCCGCUCUCCUCAAAUACCUGUUAACACAUCACGUCCUGCUUCAGUAUGGAGGUUUGGUCGACAUGACUGCGUCAAAGAAGGUCGAUUGUAUCCGAUCACGCUCCCUUUACACCUAUGCCGAUCAGCAACCGGCUAGCAGGAGCACUGACUUCCCCGGCAGUCUUCUCCUUCGCUUUCUUUCGAUCUCUCCGUUUUAAAGGUUGCGCUGUCAUGGUAUAGCAUCUGAUCGUUUGGGGAGGGGGGACUACCUUAAAUGAGCUAGUUAAGUAUGUGUGCUAUGUACUACUGCAUAGGGCAUAGUUUUUGAGCGGUUUUGGCCUAAAUAAGGGUAUAAAUUUUAACCAUUCUGCUCUGAAAUAGGGCAUGUUUUUCACUCAGCCUUGGCAUGGGUAUUUUGAAUUUUCUAGCCGCAUUGACAUUGGCAAAUUUUUAGCCCUUCUCUAAUGUUUACCUAAAUGGAAGCCAUUUCUGGUUAGCUGAAAUCAUAUAUAUAAGAGCCGUGUACUGAUUUUGAAGUUCUGAAAUGGGGUAUUGAUUUUCGCUCAGCUCAGAAAUAGAGUAUGGAAAAUCACAGAUUUUGGUCUGUAAUAGGGUACAGGUUUCGCACACCCAACCAAAAUCUUCGGAGGGUAUCCCUUUUCCUCCUCCACCGGAGCAUCUACAGGGUAGGGACCAUCAACUUCAUAUCAGUAUUUGGGAGUGAUGAUAUAUUAGAGAUAUUAAUUAGCUUGGGAAACUUCCUGUUGGCAGACUGACAAGUAUUCAUUCGAUGUAUUUCCUAACUUGCUUGCUUACAUUUAUAUAGCUUUAUAUGGGAAUUCUCUCACUGAGUAUUGUUAAUUAUAGGAAUUACGAGUACCAUCGUCAUUCGUGUCAAAAUGGAUGUGUGGUUAGUUGUUGUUACGACUCGAUACAUAAAAUACGCCUAUGUUGAAGUUGUCUGCUUGGAGGCCCGGUCAUUUCCCCUACGCAGAAAGCAGCCUUCGCUAGAAGAAAAUCGGAUUUCUGCGACACGCAGACCCGGGCACUAAGAUGCGGCACGGAAUUCACAUGGUGCAAAGCAAGCAUAAAUAGAAGGGAGAUUUGCUUGCUUAGCAACUGGAAGGUUUAUCCUUAAGGAUGGUUUUUGCGAAUUUAGGAGACGGGUGACGAGGUUGCUUUCCCUCCAGUGGUAUGCCUUUUUUGUUCUGCCUAAGCAACUAAGCCCUGAGUUUUGCUAUGUUGGACUACGAUACUGAUUAAGCUUCUGCAUGGAGAAUAUGUCGUCUUGGGAUAGGGUAUAGGGGUGUAUAGAAUAGUGUUGCAAAAUCAAGCUGAUCGUGGUCUAGUAUGGGGUAAAGGUUUCAGUGUCCCAGUGGAGCACCCCUACCCAAAGAUCU
rnacentral:lncRNA from 1 species